AUGGGAGGAAAUACUCUUAGCCAUGGUUAUCUUUGGGUGAUUUUUUCCCACUUACUCUUGUUACUUAUAUUUUGCUUCAGAAUUAGCUACAAUGGAAAUGAAAUAUAUAUAUAUAUAUAUAUAUAUAUAUAUAUAUAUAUAUAUAUAUAUAAUGGGCUUUUGAAAAAUCUGCAUCCUCUACUAAAGAAUGUUGCUGCCUAUCCCCUUAUUUUCUGCCGAGGGACACCGUUCAGAAGAAUUCUCUGUGAUGGGGAGAGAAAGGUCCACGGUAUCACUGAAGCAUUAAGAACAUGGAGACUCAAGACAGGAAGCCAAAGACCAAGGAACUUUGGGUCCUUGUUUUUCUCCCCCACAAGCUGGUUGAAGAAAUUCCAACAUUCUCCAGCAGAGAGUGGUGCCUGGGGAAUUCUUCCACAAACACAGGUUUGCAAGCAAACCAGGUGAAACGGAGAAGCUGAGCCUGAGGCAUGGAUAUGACUGAAUAGCCGUGAAAGGCAAGGAGCCCUUCAGCAGGACACUUACUCGGUUUGCAAAUAACAAAGGAUCAUAGGACCAUAGACUAUCAGGGUUCAAAGAAUCCUUUAGAGAUCAAAUAACCCAAUCCCAUUCCAUGUUAGAAUUCCAAGUUGAUCACCCCUUGAAAUGGGGGCUUCCUACUUUCCAGAGCAGGGCAGUUUUAAUUCUUAAAAAGUUCUACCAUUUGUUGAGACAACAUUUGCCUCCCUUGAACUUCUAUCCAUUGUUUUAAAAUUCUCAUUCUUUUGCUACAUGGUAAAUAGCCCUUUGGAAACAUGGUGAUGACAGCUCAUUCACCUGAGUCUUCUCCUUCUAACCUCCAAGCUCCCUCCUCCCCCAGCUUUCUCAACUGAUCCUCUAACAGUUCCAGUUGUUUCCAGUCCCACCACCAUCCGGACCCCUCUUUUGAUAUAAGGAAACAGAAGUGGAAUCAAUACUCAGGGAAUAAUUUUCAAACACUCAGAGCUGUUCAACAAUGGAUCAGAGGUUGAUUUGCAAUAUUAACGCUCGUAUGUAAAUUACACCUAGAAAAACAUUGGGUGAGGGGGAAACAAUUACCUCAUGUGGUGGACAUCUAGUUUUGUUUGUUCAACGUCCAUACUAUCUCCUAUGGGACUAGGAUUAAAAUUCACUUGGGUGAAGGGGCACAUAGGUGGCUCAGUUGGUUGAGCAUGGGACCCUUGAUUUCGGCUCAGAGCAUGAUCUCAUGGGUUACGGGAUAGAGCUCUGCAUUGGUCUCCCCACCAAGCAUGGAGCCCGCUUGGGAUUCUCCGUCUCCCUCUCUGCCUCUCCUUCCCCAAAAUAAAUAAAUAAACAUUAAAAAAAUAAAAUUCA
rnacentral:lncRNA from 1 species